GAACGAAUUGAAUCCACAACUUAUGAAAUAACAACUGAAUGUAAUCGAAUCAAAUUGCAAGCAUGUACAUGGUUUCGAAUUACCCCCCAACUAAGGGGGUUUAGUUCCUCAUACUCACAACACAAAGUUUAUUGAAUUGAAACAUUGAAACAUAAGAAAGAUCACACCUAAAAAUUCCAGCAAUCUAAAUUGCACAGCAGGAACAUCUAAGAACCUUCCUCCUCUUCCUUGGUUGCGGCACAGGGGUUUUGUGAUGGUUUUUGGGGUUAUGGAUGGUGUAGAAUGGUGGAAAAGUGUGUAGGAUAGGUGUAUGGGACGGCUAGGGUGGUUUUUGGGUCAGAAAAAUAUGGUGAAUGAUGAAGGAUAGGUGCUGUUGAAGAUGGGGAAUGGUUUCUGGCGUGAAGGAUUAAUUUCUGGAUUAUGGAGAGGGUUGUAAUUCGGCCAAGGGAGGUAAAACAUAUAUAUAUAGGCAGCCAAACCCUAAAGAAAAUCAGAUUAGACAAAUGGGCUAGGGUUUAGGUGAGGCUAGGGUUAGGAAAUCCACCAAAAACUAGGGUUUCUAGAAACAUUAGGUGCGGCAUGGGCUUAGGGUAAGUAAUCAGAUUUUUUUCAUGUGAACAAGGCCUAGGUGUGGCUGAUUAAGUGGGCUAGGGUUAGGGUUAGGUGCGGCAUAGGUCCAAGAGGCAAAAGAUGGGUCAUCCAAAAGCCCAAAGCCGAGAAUAGAAACUCUCGAAAAUUGGAAACCUCCAAAAAUAGAAAAUUCCAACUUUAGAAACUUUGGUUGCCAAUUCCGAUUUAGGAAAGAUCAACCCAAAAUGGAAACUUUUAGGCUUAGCUUUCCUACUUCAAGUAGGAAACCUCAAAUCUUCGAACUCUUCAAUUUCAACCCAACCUUGUGUUCCAAGCAUGUCCUUUUCAUUCCAAGCUCACUUUUUGCUCCUAAAAGCUCCAAAUUGCAUCAUUUCAUGUAAUAUGUCCUUUAAACCUGAAAACACAUGAAAGUAGCUUAAAAAGACUACUUUAACGAAGAAAACAUAACAAAGAUGCAUAAGAACUAGCUAACUAAGGCGCAUAAAUAUGCUCCUAUCAAAUUCCCCCACACUUAGCUUUUGCUAGUCCUCGAGCAAAACAAACAAAAGAAAGAAAACGAAACGAAACGAAACAGACUAACCAAAACAAACCUAAACCUUCCAACGUUUGCCUCAGGGAUUUCCAAUGCACAUGACAUGUUAAAAGAUUGCUAUCCCCACAGAUUUGAGUCAUCUUUACACAAGCACAUACUUAAUUAAAGCCACCACUUACUAGUUCACAAGUAAUCAAUUAAAACAAUGCUUUUGAAUGUAGUAACAUGCCUUAGAGAAUUCCCUCAAUUCCUUACAAGAUAUACACUCUAUUUUCACUCAGAUUUUCUAACUCCACACCCUACACUAGUCAUAUGUGAGAAGAUUGAUGUAGAUAUGAAAACGAAUGCUCACAUAUAUGUUUCACAAAGAACGCAAUUUCUAGAGUUAAGAAGCAUGUUUAGAUAUGAUCUCAUGAAUGGAAUGCUACUACUUAGAUGCGAGAACCAGUGACACCAUAUGCUCAUACCAAAUUCAAACUCCACAAAUUGAAACACAUAACACUCAAGAUAGAAGUUAAGGGUUGUAAUGGGGCUUAGGUUGUUGGUUAACAAGGAAAGGAUGGGGAAAACAAACGUUCUUCAAGCAAUAGUAAGCAAAGCAAUGAAAUUGAGACUUAGAAUUCACUUAGAUUGCAGAAAUUAACUUUAAAACACAAGGGGAAGACUUAAACAACUCCUUAGGGCCGAAUUCAUUGUUUUGGACCCUUACUUCAACAAACAAUACUUUGGAACUCUUUUUCUUUUUUUUUUUUUUUUUCAAACUGUUUUUUUUUUUUCAUACUUUUCACACUUUUUUCUUCAUUUUUUCUUUUUCCACGAAUUUUUUUUUCUUUUCUUUGCCGUGCCUAUGGCACACAAUUCCUCAUGAAAAAUACUUCCCCCACACUUGGUUUCUGCCAACAUAGAUCAAAAGGAAUUCAAUUUCGAAUCAUGCUUUACUAUGCUUUAAGAACAAGGGUAUGGAUGGUCCUAAACUAGGCUAGGUGAGGAUAAUGUGGGUUAACAAACAACAUAGGCUAAACAAGGCUCAACGGGGUUAAAACCUACAAAAACAUAAUGACAUAGGGGAUUCAUGGCUUUUUGGCUAAGGUGGUGGUCACUACACAACUUCAUCUUGAAUAUGUGUUAUGCAAAUCAAUAACAUGCUUUGAAUGAAAUGGGCAUGAGUUCUAGCAUUUGGAACUAAAUGAUGAAACGCCUUCUAAGUAGCAACCAAGCAAAGAAUAAUGAGAUCAUGCAACGACUUAGAAAACAAAGAAUGCACAGAUUUUAACUCUCCAAAUAAACGUUUAGGCUCAAGUCUCACAAGGUUGUAGCGUUAGUUUGAGUUCCUUCCUUCAAGCAUGUUACAAAAAACUGAUUUUUUUCUUUUAUGAUUGCAUGUGAAUUCAUAAGUUAUAACCACAACUAAGCAUAAACAAAGAGUAAAUCAAACUUUCAUCCAUGUUAAUCACUCUCUUUAACAGCCAUGUAAUUACAAACCGAAUCCUCAUCAUUGUGUUGGAAGGUACCCUAAGACACAAACAAACACACAAAAACAACUCUUUUUUGGGUUUUUUAAAACAAAUUUUUCAAAUUUUUAUGUAAUUUUCGGAUUUUUACUUCAAAACACACUAAAACACAUCAAAACUGCUCAAAAACACUUAAAAACAGCAAGGAACAAGUCUUCAAGUUUAGGGUGAUAAAAUCCCACGAAUUUGCAUCUAAAACACUUAGUUACCCCCCCACACUUAAAUCAAACAUUGUCCUCAAUGUUUCAAGCAUGAAAUCACACUAAACAAAAAGAAACACACAAACAGCAACUAAAACAACUAAAUAGGCAGAUUCAAAAUAAAUAACAAAGGGAAGAGUUUAGGAACGCAAAUCUGGAAUUGGGAGUGAUUCCUUGGUCUUCCUCUGUUGAAUUGCAUGGGUUGCCUCCCAAGUAGCGCUUUCUUUUACGUCUUGCAGCCGGACAAUGCUCCUUUGAAGGUUAUUGAACCCCACGGCAUGGAGGGGUGUUUCCUCUACACCUUGUCCUUCGAACCACUUCAUGCAUUGGGUCCUUGAAUGGAAUGGGAUAAUGAUCCUUUCGUAGUGUCGUGUUGUGCUUCUCUAAAUUAACACGAACUCUCCCACCAUAUUGACUUUGAUUAGGUACCUGCACCAUACAAGGUAACAACCGAUUAGUUGAAAUGGGAAUUGAAAUUGGAUCAGGUGGCUUACCUAGGUGCGGCAUAGGAGUGGGAGUACAAUGGACAGAUGCACAAAGGUUGCACUCGGCCAAAUUUGGUGAUUUCAAGGUUGAGGCCGUGCAUUCUUUGUUGCUCACUCCAAUUCCCUCCUCGAUGGUAGUUCGAGGUGCAUUUUUCUUGACUAGUGUUGAACAUUCCUGCCCUAUAUUUUCAAUUACAUUAAUGGCACAACAAGAACGAACAUCAUUAGUAUUCUCAAUUGAUUCAGGAAUCUUAAAGUUAAUCAUAUCACCACCAAAGGCCAUAGUUACGGCUCCCUUGGCCACAUCAAUCUUGGUUUGAGCCGUUUUCAUGAAUGGUCGUCCAAGCAAGAGUGGUGAUGGUGGAUAGUGGGUUGAGUCCUCCAUAUCAAGCACAUAGAAAUCUGCAGGAAAAAUCAAAUGGUCUACCUGCAACAAAACAUCUUCCAACACUCCCUUGGGAUAUGCAUUAGAUCGAUCGGCUAAUUGAAUUAUAACGCCAUCAUUUUUAAGUUUUCCUAGAUUCAUAGAUGCAUAAACAGAAUAUGGCAUGACAUUAAUUGAUGCACCUAGAUCUAGCAUAGCAUGUUCAAAUCUUGUAUUACCAAUUACACAAGGGAUUGUGAAACUACCUGGAUCUUUACAUUUAGGUGGUAGCUUCCUUUGCAACAUUGCAGAGACAUUCUCGCUUACAUGUACCACCUCCUUCUCCCUAAUCCGCUUCCUCGUUGUACAAAGCUUCUUCAAGAACUUGGCAUACUUCGGGAUUUGCUUGAUUGCAUCCAAAAGAGGUAUGUUAACUUGAACUUUCCUAAAUGUCUCUAGAACAUCUUUUUCCUCCUCUUCAUUCUUGGAUUGCAAAAAUCUGCUAGGAAAGGGCACAUUGGGUGGAAUAAUGUUAGAAUUAACUGAACUUGGACCUUUCUUACCUAGGGUGGACGGAUUGGAGGACUUAGGAUCAAUGGUUGCUUGCGGCAAAGGUUGCUCCACCUUUGCCGUGGGUUGCUUUGGGUUCUCCUCUCCAGAUUUCAACGUUUCAUCUUCUUUGGGACCUGAUUUUGGUGGUGUAGGACCUGCCCCAACUUCUUUUCCACUCCUUAGCAUGAUUGCAUUUGCGGUUUCAAAGCCUCCCUUUGGACUUGGAAUGGUGGAACUAGGGAGUUGUCCGGGAUCUCGAAACUUACCUACAAACUCGGCAAUCUGCCCAAUUUGUUUCUCAAGUUGAUCCACCCUUCUGUCUUGGUUUUGCAUAGCUUUAGCUUGAUCUUCCUGCCCAUUAGACAACUUAGUUAGUAUCUUAAGAAGUGCAUCAUUGUCAAGAGACGUACCUGAGGCACUUGGGCCGGAUUGGGCUUGAUUUUGGGGUGGGCCGUAAGUUUUGGGAAAGAACCCCGGGGGUUGUUGCCUAAAGCCUCCUUGGUUUUGAGGUUGUUGGGGCUCCCUCCACUUGAAAUUUGGGUGAUCUCUCCAACCGGGAUUAUAUGUGUUUGAAUAUGGAUCGUUCCUUGGUUGGUUUUGCCCUUGAAACCCAAUUGCAUGGGCGCUUUCCCAUCCACCAUUUUCAAUCAACUGUGGACAUUUUUCAGAGACAUGUCCUUGGAUGGAACAUACGCCACAUACAAUUGGUCCUUGCAUCUUCAUGCCCUCGGCCAUCUGAGACACAAGAGAAGUAAGAUUAGCCAAUUGUGAAUGAAGAUCAGAAGUUGAACUUACCUCAUGUACUUGGUGCCGUGGGGGUCCUCUUUGGCCUACACCCUCGUACUGUUGAGCGUUCAACGCUCUAUUAGCAAUCAAGACCUUGGCAGCCAUGGGUGUUUUGUCCACCAAUGCUCCCCCCGCCGAAGCAUCAAGCAUUUGACGUUCUAGAGGUAGGAGACCCUCGUAGAAGUAUUGCAAAAGCAACUCCUCCUUCAUCUGAUGCUGUGGACAAGAAGCAACAAGUGAUUUAAAUCGUUCAUAAUAUGUAGGAAAAGACUCACCUUCCUCUUGCUGAAUUCCGCUUAUCUUUUUGCGUAGGAGGAUGAUGCGAGAAGUUGGAAAGAACUUCUCCAAGAACGCUCUUUUCAUACUCUCCCAAGAAGUGACAGUGCUGGGAGCUAACUCGUAUAACCAAUCCUUGGCUUUAUCCAUCAAAGAGAAUGGAAAAGCCUUCAUCUUCAAGAUAUUUCCGUCAACAUUGACGGGAGUCGUACUAGAGCAAACUACUUCAAAUUCUUUCAAAUGUUUGUUAGGAUCUUCCAUGGACAAGCCAUGGUAUUUAGGAAUAUGAUGAAGCAAACUUGACUUUAAUUCAAACUCAUCCGUCUUACCUUGGGCAGCCAUGGGGUAUUGAAUGCACAAGGGUGCGGCAUUAUCCAAACCUGAGGCGGAAAGCUCCUUGAGUGUACGAUUGUCCAUGGCCAUGCCUUGGACUUCUUCAAAUAUCCCUGCCGUGGCUUCCUCCUCCUCUUCUUGUACGUUUUCUUCAAGGUCAGAUUCGGAAUUGGGUGGAUGGUGUUCUUGCUGGUUUCUAGCUCUUCUUAACUUCCUCUCAAAAUCGUCGUCAAAAUCCAAGAUGUUUGCACGAAUCGUUUGAGAGCUUCUAGUCAUACAUUAGUACCUAAGAAACAAGAAACAAAAUUAGGUCAGAAACUUAAACAAAGUCAGAAACAAAGUGAAAUAAAAGAAACAAAAACAAUCCAAGGGAUUAGCAAAAUUGCUAAUCCCCGGCAACGGCGCCAAAAAUUUGAUGCGAAAUAGAUAAGCACACAAAUUAAACCCUCUUUUUGUCAAAUUGUAGCAAAGAUGUAAGUAGGGAUCGUUCUAAACCGGGGAUUAGGAGGGAUUGCUAAACACUUGGAAACUGACUUAAAAACUCAAAAACAAAGUUUAAAACACUAAACUAGACUCAAAGAAUGCAAAAGUAAAGGUUAAAAGACUUAAACAAACCUAAAACUCAAAACAGCAACUAGAAGGCUCAAAACUGCCUAAAAAACCACUUUCUGGGCAGUUUUGAGCACCUACACUAAUUUGGACGAAAUUUGAUGAAAACUUGAAUCAAAAAUACUUAGAAACACAAAUCAAAAUACUUUCUAACUAAUCUAAGACUUCAAAUGAAGGGGGAUUUGUUUUGGACGAAAAUUUAAACACAAAACAGAAACUUUAAUUAGCACAGAUUGUAAAAACGAUUUUGGUGAAAUAGAUGGAUAAAAGGCUAGUUAGGAGGUUCUUCUCCACACAUGUCACACUUGCAAACAAAACGAUUUUCAGUUGUUUUCUUCCAAUAAAUUAUAAAUACUCAACGCCCCAGAUUAACCGUGAAUUGCACUAAUUAACCCUCAGUUUUUCCACAAGUUAUUAAGUUGGAUGAUUGCAUACGACAACCCAAAACAUUCCCUACAAGUUCCCUACAUGAAUUGCAUAAUAGAGAUACAAGCAAGAAUCAUUACGUUCUAUGAAAAACAUAAGCAUUGACGAAGCAUUUGUUACUAUGAAUUGCAUGAAACUUAUGCUAAGAAUUCAUUCAACGCGAUCGUUUUCAAGCGAUCUUCACUACUUGUGAUUAUAAGAUUGUAACUAUUAGGUGAAACUCCCUCAUAAUCUAGCAUCAUAUUCAUGCAUGAAAACUAAGCGUGCACUCUCAAUCAACAUACAUAAAUAAGUAUCAAUCAAAUAGAUGAACGAAUUGAAUCCACAACUUAUGAAAUAACAACUGAAUGUAAUCGAAUCAAAUUGCAAGCAUGUACAUGGUUUCGAAUUACCCCCCAACUAAGGGGGUUUAGUUCCUCAUACUCACAACACAAAGUUUUAUUGAAUUGAAACAUUGAAACAUAAGAAAGAUCACACCUAAAAAUUCCAGCAAUCUAAAUUGCACAGCAGGAACAUCUAAGAACCUUCCUCCUCUUCCUUGGUUGCGGCACAGGGGUUUGUGAUGGUUUUUGGGGGUUAUGGAUGGUGUAGAAUGGUGGAAAAGUGUGUAGGAUAGGUGUAUGGGACGGCUAGGGUGGUUUUGGGUCAGAAAAUAUGGUGAAUGAUGAAGGAUAGGUGCUGUUGAAGAUGGGGAAUGGUUUCUGGCGUGAAGGAUUAAUUUCUGGAUUAUGGAGAGGGUUGUAAUUCGGCCAAGGGAGGUAAAACAUAUAUAUAUAGGCAGCCAAACCCUAAAGAAAUCAGAUUAGACAAAUGGGCUAGGGUUUAGGUGAGGCUAGGGUUAGGAAAUCCACCAAAAACUAGGGUUUCUAGAACAUUAGGUGCGGCAUGGGCUUAGGGUAAGUAAUCAGAUUUUUUUCAUGUGAACAAGGCCUAGGUGUGGCUGAUUAAGUGGGCUAGGGUUAGGGUUAGGUGCGGCAUAGGUCCAAGAGGCAAAGAUGGGUCAUCCAAAAGCCCAAAGCCGAGAAUAGAAACUCUCGAAAUUGGAAACCUCCAAAAAUAGAAAAUUCCAACUUUAGAAACUUUGGUUGCCAAUUCCGAUUUAGGAAAGAUCAACCCAAAAUGGAAACUUUUAGGCUUAGCUUUCCUACUUCAAGUAGGAAACCUCAAAUCUCGAACUCUUCAAUUUCAACCCAACCUUGUGUUCCAAGCAUGUCCUUUUCAUUCCAAGCUCACUUUUUGCUCUAAAAGCUCCAAAUUGCAUCAUUUCAUGUAAUAUGUCCUUUAAACCUGAAAACACAUGAAAGUAGCUUAAAAGACUACUUUAACGAAGAAAACAUAACAAAGAUGCAUAAGAACUAGCUAACUAAGGCGCAUAAAUAUGCUCCUAUCAUCAAUGUAGACUUCGACAAUGGUACCAAUUAAAUCUUGGAAAAUAGUGUUCAUGGCUCGUUGGUAUGUUGCACCGGCAUUCUUGAGGCUGAAGGGCAUGACGACCCAUUCGUAUAUGCCGAGUGCCCCGGGACACUGAAA
rnacentral:lncRNA from 1 species